UUUCUUCUCCGUAUACUCGCCCGCGGAAGGAAUAACAGCUCACUCCUUCACUCCUCUUUCUUCUCAGGCAAACUGAACUCCUCCACGCCAUCUCCUUCAGCCGCUCGACGGAAAUAUUUCUCAGGCAAAGCUCACUCGCCGACCACGGUCUCAACCGAAAGGCUCCUCCUUCACAAUCUCGUUCCGGCAAGCCACCGAAUACCCAGGCGGGUGGGACAUUUCGUAUUUGGUCUGUGAAUUUCCGCUUAUUUAUUUCCCUUCCAUAAGUCUGUAGAGAGAAAGAGGGUUAUUACUUGGUCAUAUUUAUGUUAAUUUUGCAUGAAUUUGGAUUGGUUUAUUUUAUGUGUUUGAUUUUUCAAUCAUAUAACAAAUGUGAUUGACAUGGUAGUUUUGGUGGCGGUGGUUGGGGUAGUAGUAGUUUUGGUGGAGGGUCUGGACAUGGUAGUGGUUUUGGUGUAGGUGUUGGCGGAAUUGGAGGAGGAGGAGGAGGAGGAGGUGAUGGUGGCAGCAUAUGCAUAUCCAAAUUGUUCAACUGCACAGAUUUCUUUGUCAUUGGGCUUAAAUAAUUAAGUCCAAUGAGUGUCUUCAACAAGAUGCCUUGUGAGUUCUGAGUUUGCGUCCUGGAGUGUGCAGUUCCACCCCCAACGAAAUGCUAUUCGGCUGAAGUAGAAAGAAGAAGAAAUACGACCAGAACAGAAAUGCUACAGAAAGAAGAAGAAAUGCGACCAGAACAGAAAUACUAUUCGGUUGAAGAAGAACAACCAGACCAGAAAAAUUUCGCUACUUGUUGUUCAGAAAAAAUCCCCGUUUUCUAGAGAGGCUUUCGGUUGUGUGGUGGCUUAUAGAAUGAUUAAGAGUUUGGUCCUUCCUUCGAAAGCAUUGAAGUUCCCGGUGGGAAAGAUUAAAGGGCCUAGGCAAUUAAGGUGCAAAGGACCUAAGAUGGAGCUUACUCUAACACAACCUGAUGAUUGGCAUCUUCACCUCCGUGAUGGGGACAUGCUUGAAGCUGUUGUCUGUCACAGUGCAAGUCAUUUUGGAAGGGCGAUAGUGAUGCCGAAUCUGAAGCCCCCCAUUACAACCACAGCUGCUGCUGUGACAUAUCGAGAAUCGAUCUUGAAAGCUCUGCCUGCCAAUAUCAACUUCACUCCUCUUAUGACACUUUAUUUGACAGAUACGACAAGCCCAGAAGAGAUCAAGUUUGCAAGAAGAAGUGGGGUUGUAUUUGCUGUGAAGUUGUAUCCUGCUGGUGCUACAACUAAUUCUCAAGAUGGGGUUACGGAUCUUUUUGGGAAAUGUCUACCUGUCCUUGAGGAGAUGGCUGAACAAAAUAUGCCUUUGUUGGUUCAUGGGGAAGUUACAAACCCUGAUGUUGACGUAUUUGAUCGAGAGAAAGUCUUCAUUGAAACUGUUCUACAACCUUUAGUUCAGAGACUUCCACAGCUGGGGGUAGUGAUGGAACAUAUCACAACAAUGGAUGCUGUUAGGUUUGUUGAGUCCUGCAAAGAAGGAUCUGUAGCCGCCACUGUUACUCCACAGCAUCUUCUUCUCAAUCGAAAUUCUCUCUUUCAAGGAGGAUUGCAGCCUCAUAAUUACUGCCUUCCAGUACUCAAAAGAGAGAUCCACAGACAGGCUAUUGUUGCAGCUGUGACCAGUGGAAGUAAAAGAUUUUUCCUUGGAACUGAUAGUGCUCCACAUGAGAGACGAAGAAAAGAAUGUUCUUGUGGAUGUGCUGGUAUAUACAACGCCCCUGUUGCCCUAUCACUAUAUGCCAAAGUCUUUGAUGAGCACAGGUGAGGAAUAAGGGUAGAGAUAUGCGUGCUAUCCAGUGCUUUAGUUGUAAAGCUUUUGGUCAUAUUGCUCGGGAUUGCCGCAAGAAGUUUUGUAACUACUGCAAGAAACAAGAUCAUAUCAUCUUUACUUGUCCCAUUCGACUAGAAAGGAAGCAGGGUAUUGCUUAUCAUGCCUCUCCUGGUACCUCUAGUUCUGCUGCAUUGCCUGUUGUCUCGCUGGUUGUUCCUAUUCCUGCUCCUACAGCCUUAGCAAACCCGAACACACUCACUCCUGAAAUGGAUCAAGUGUUAGGGAAGAUGAUCGCGAAGGGGCCUAAAGUGGGACGACUCUUUCCUCUUCACGUUUUUUCUUCUACCAUUAUUC